GGCAAGACGACUCACAGGGAACGUAAUUCUGCUCACUCACAAGGAAAACAAUACCGAAGCUGAUAAAAAUGCGGCAAUCAGCAGGUGCUGUAUUCCGGAGAGCUGCUGUAGUUAAAUAGAGAAGAGGAGAGACAGGCCAUCUCCAGGACGCAAGAGUCAGGGCUGGACAAACUGAAAAGAAUCGAUACUCCAGCACCAGCACCAUAUGCACAAUCACGCAGGCCUCCCACCAAUGCGGCCCCUCCUGCCGCAGAGCACAGGCUCCAGACGCACAGGCUCAGCUGCCAUGGCCCAUGGGCCCAGCCGCUCCGCAGCAUGGGGGAUCUCCCCGGACCA